rnacentral:tRNA from 1 species
GGGUAGAUAUGCCUAGAGGCGAGGGCAAGGCUCUGUAAAAGCCCCACAAAGAAACACCGCAGGUUCGACUCCUGCUCUGCCCA